UUGUAGUCAUUUCAUGACAUAUAUAAUGUUAACCUCUUUUUAGCGUAAUAUUUCUAAAUUAUGACUAAUUGUCUUGAAUGGGAUGUAUGUCUUCUGACUGACUGACCUUGCUUUCCUGUGCCCGUGACAAAGUGCCCCUCAACCACUGUAAUGUUGUGCCAAGAGAUUUCUCUAUGCAUGAAUGAGGAUGGCAGGCUGUCGCCUUUACUCUCCCCAGCAUAUAUCUUUUCUUAUCUGCAGCUGUACAGAAAGAUUCCCUCAGCAUUUCAACAUGUCAGUAAUCAGUGGGAGUAAAAGAAAUGUGAUAAAGACUCUCUUGCUCUGUUAAAACAAGUGGGGCAUACCACACAAAGCACCCGCGCAACAUCUGAAGGCAUUUUUCUCAGGGCAAGGUUGAAUACAUUUUAAUGAGGUGAAAAUACAUAUCUGUGCCUUAUGUGGCUUUAAUUAAAGGUAAGGUUCAUUGAUAUAUAUUAUUAAAUGAUUUGAGCAUUGGUAGCAUAACUGACUUUCUCAUGACUACAUGGUAAAUUAGAUAUGACAAUUAAAGCAGCAGCAGAGGAGUCCCUUAGCCUGUAGGCUACAUUGUUGUUCUUAAUUGCUGUUUUAUUCAGAGUCCUUCAGAGUGUGCUGUGCUCCUCUUAACUGUAAAAUUUAUUAAACAAGACCUUUUCCCAUGUGACUGUGUCUGUGUUCUGAAAUACUAAUGUGAAAAGCAGGCAAAAAUACAAUAGCUUAGCUCUGGUUAACAUGUAAGGAUGUUCUUUAUGAGAAGCAAUGGUAAGGCUUUGAAAACUGCUAAAUAAAACAAAACAGGUUAUGCAUUUUUUUUAGACUGAUUAUCAUAUUGUAUUUGAAAGUGUGAACAAAAGAAAUGUAUUUUGUCUACAAAUGGUGGUUCAGGUGGUUUGUAUACUCGUCUGCAGGAGAUUGAAGUACCAGCUUGAGUAGGGUGGCUUUAUAUUCUAACUUCUAUUGAAGAAGAGUAAAACAUGAUGCAUGCGGGCAUUUUUAGGAGCUUCUUCAGUUCUGUGUGUCCCGCAACCGCUUAACUUCCAUUUUCCAAGCCAAAUCUAUAACAAUAAUUUUACAGUGUUCUGCAGAUUAUUUUCUGAAAUUUAAAUAACUUUUCAGUAUGCUUGAAUUAUUUGCACAUAGACAAGGCUAUACCUUGUUCAUUUUAGUUGUGAAAACUUUGCUUAAGUUUCUAAUGAAUUACUUUUAUCGGAAUUAAAAAUGUGAAAUGCUAAUUCCUUUCAGCACCAAUAAUAAUCAUAUGCCUUCCUAAACUCUCUUCAUAUAAAUGUGUUAGAUGGUAGAGAUCUUGGCUUUCUUGAUAAUCCAUUUACCCAUGACACACAUCACAGUAAAUGUUCAAUCAUCUUUCUGCCUCCUAAUCUAUGGAGGUGAGGACCUUUUCAGUGAUAUAGUAUAAUUUGCCUUGGUAAUGACACUAUAGGAAGCUCUAGUCUGAAUGGUUUACCCUAUUUUGUGGCUUUCAUCCCUUUUGUACAAAUCAGUUUAGCUGUGCUAUGCUUUACAAAAUGGUCUGCUUAUGUUACUCUUACUAUUUAUUCAUAUGUACAGUGUUUCACAUUUCAAAUUUGACUGCAGUACUUCAUUCGUUUACUAUGUUAAAUGUUUUCAUUGAUCUCCAUAUUUUUUGAGGUAAUGGUAUUGUUUAUUUGCAUUAUUUAUUAAAGCUUCCUUGCUUUUUUUUUACAAGCUUAUGGGUGGCUGUCAGGAUAUGCUCUGGGUCCUUAUGAUCCUUUGCAAGAAAAUGCAGAUUCAAGAAAUAAAUAAACCCAUUGUAAUGCUGAAUUGAUGCACUUGAAAGUACUGCAACAUAGAAUUGCAAUCAAACUAUAUUUUAAGCAUGUCAUGUUAAGUACAAACUGGAAAGAUUAUCGGGUCUUUCAUUGUAUACAUCAACUGUAAAACCUCAUUUAAAAAAAAACAAAAAAAACAAAAAACACACACCACUAUCUUUGUGGUUGGUUUGCUGUACAAAGCUCACAACUAAAAGCAGUGUGAAAUCCUCUUGUUUGUGAGGUGUAAAAAGCAAGCACAAAAAGACAUCUAAUAUCUGUUGCUAUCAAUUACUAUUUAUGAAUUCUUUUUUGAACUAACAAGUGAUCCUUUUUUCUUCUGUCAUUUUUCUUUAAUCUUUUUGUUUUAGCUUUCCUGCUCUUAACAUAUUUAGUUUGAUUUUGCUAUAUCUAUCUAUCUAUCUAUCUAUCUAUCUAUCUAUCUAUCAAGAUAAACAACAAAAAAGAAAACGGCAGGAUGUAAUAAAGCUUACCUUUACAUAUAGAUGAGGUGUUUUAUUUAUAAAUGUAAUAUUUUAAUUUGUUCUCAUAAUGUAAUUUACAAACUCUUAGUUGUGUGCACCUUUGUAAGAAAGUGAAAAUAAGAUGCAGCUUUUGUCUUCAGGCAUUAACCUAUAUUGCUCAUUCCCACAUAGAAAGGCAUAUUGAUCUGUGUUUUAUAUUUUUAAAUCAAUUAACAAUAUGCACUCUCACUUAUUCAUUUUUUUUUUGUACUGUAGCUCACAUGAAAUGUCAUGAAACAAUAAAAAAUGUUGUGGAUAAGUAGAAUGAACAUCAAUAGGGAGCAUAGGGGAUCACAGCUUGUCCAGAGAAGUGCUUUCAGCACAAUAACUGCUGUUACAUUGGUCUGCAUGAACACAACCCGAGUGUCACUGUACCAGCUGGCUGUAUGUUGGCUCACUAAAAUGCCAAUGUCAAAGUAACAUUUGUUAGGUCUCUUUGUUGGCAGAAAAUUGAAAAUGUUAUUUUUCUAAACUGUCUUUUGUACUGCAAAAAAAAAA